rnacentral:lncRNA from 1 species
UGGUGCUGCUCUGUGCUGUGGUGCUGCUCUGUGUUGUGGUGCUGCUCUGUGCCGUGGUGAUGCUCUGUGCUGUGGUGCUGCUCUGUGCUGUGGUGCUGCUCUGUGUUGUGGUGAUGCUCUGUGCUGUGGUGAUGCUCUGUGCUGUGGUGCUGCUCUCUGCUAUGAUGGUGCUCUGUACUGUGGUGCUGCUCUCUGCUAUGAUGGUGCUCUGUGCUGGGUGAUGCUCUGUGUUGUGGUGCUGCUCUGUGCUGUGUAGGUGCUCUGUGCUGUAGUGAUGCUCUGUGCUGUGGUGCUGCUCUGUGCUAUGAUGGUGCUCUGUGCUAUGAUGGUGCUCUGUGCUGUGGUGCUGCUCUGUGCUGUGGUGCUGCUCUGUGCUAUGAUGGUGCUCUGUGCUGGGUGAUGCUCUGUGUU